rnacentral:rRNA from 1 species
AAUCAGAUGUAAUUUGUAUCUCACAAUCACAACUCCUUAUGAUUAACAAAUUACAAAUAUUUGAAUCUACGGACUCUAUUAUUUAUUUAAUUGUCUAUUAAUUAAAUAAUAGAUCUGCCAUUUAAUUGCAUUAAUUAUAUAUAAAAGUAUUUAUGUCCAAAGUUGAUUGGACCUAGGACAUAAUACUUACAUUAGUAUCUAGAGGGAAAGAAAACAAAAGUGAUUCCCUUAGAGGCAACGAGCGAAAUGGAAGCAGCUUAAAUCGUGAAAUUGGGGUUGUGGGAGAGCAAUACAAGUGUCGUGCUACCAGGUGAAGCAGCACGAAUGCUGCACCCUAGAUGGCAAAAUUCCAAUAGCCGAAAGCAUCACUAGCUUAUGCUCUGACCUAAGUAGCAUGGACACAUGGAAUCCUCUGUGAAUCAGCAAGGACCAUCCUGCCAGGAUAAAUACUCCUGGGUAACCAAUAGCGAAGUAGUACCGUGAGGGAAGGGUGAAAAGAACCCCCAUUGGGGAGUGAAAUAGAAUAUAAAAUCGUAAGCUCCCAAGUAGUAGAAGGAGCUAGGUCUUUGACUACAUGCCUAUUGAAGAAUGAGCUGACAACUCAUAGGUAGUGGCUUGGUUAAGAGAGCCCAUCGGAGCCGCAAAGAAAUUAAGUCUUCAUAGGACGAUUGUCACUGUUUAUGGGCCCGAACCUUGGUGAUCUAUCCAUGACCAGGAUGAAGCUUGGGUGAAACUAAGUGGAGGUCCAAACUGACUGAAGUUGAAGAAUUAGCAGAUGAGUUGUGGUUAGGGAUGAAAUGCUACUCGAACCCAAAGCUAGUUGGUUCUACCCGAAAGGCAUUCAGGCGCAGCAGUUGACUUGACAUCUAGGAAUAAAGCACUAUUUUGGUGUGGGCUGCGAGACUGGUACCAAAUCGAGGCAAACUCUGAAUACUAGAUAUGACCUCAAAAUAACAGGGGUCAAGGUCAGCAAAUGAGAUGAUAGGGGAUAAGCUUCAUCAUCGAGAGAGAAACAGCACAGAUCACCAGCUAAGGCCCCUAAAUGAUUGCUCAGUGAUAAAGGAGGUAGGCGUGCAAGGAUAGCCAAGAGAUUUGCCUAGAAGCAGCUAACUUUGAAAGAGUGUGUAAUAGCUCACUAAUCAAGCGCUCUUACGUGGAAGAUGAAUGAGGCUAAGCGAUCUGUCGAAGCUGUGGGAUGUAAAAAUACAUCGAUAGGGUAGCAUUUCACCUUAGAAGGAAGCCCUGGCGCGAGCAGUGGUGGACGAAGCGGAAGUGAGAAUCUCGGCUUGAGUAACGCAAACAUUGGUGAGAAUCCAAUGACCCGAAACCUAAGGGUUCCUCCACAAGGUUCAUCCGCGGAGGAUGAGUCAAGGUCUAAGAUCAGGUUGAAAGGCAUACUCGAUGGACAACAUGUGAAUAUUCCUGUACUAUCCCUUGUUGGUCCCGAGGGAUGGAGGAGGCUGGGUUAGUUGAAAGCUAGUUAUCGGUUCAAGAACGUAAGGUGCCUCUACUUUUUCAGGGUAAGAAAGGGUAGAGAAAAUGCCUCGAGACAAUGUUCGAGCACCAGGUGCUACGGUGUUGAAGUAAUCCACGCCACACUCCUAGGAAAAGUUCGAAGGACCUUUAAACAAAAGGGUACCUAUACCUAAAAUCGACACAGGUGGGCAGGUAAAGAAUACCUAGGGGUGCUAGACAUCUCUCUCUAAGGAACUCGGCAAAAUAGCCCCGUAACUUUGGGAGAAGGGGUUCCUCCUUACAAAGGGAGUCGCAGUGACUAGGCCUGGGUGACUAUUUACCAACAACAUAGGUCUCUGCAAAGUCGUAAGACCAUGUAUAGGGGUUGAUACCUGGCUAGUGUCGGAAGGUAAAGGAAAUUGGUGACCUUAUGAUAGGAGAGUCGAGGACCAAAGCCCUGAUGAAUGGAGUUCGUAACUAUAACGAUCCUAAGGUAGCGAAAUUCCUUAUCCGAUAAGUUCCGACCCGCACGAAAGGCGUAACGAUCUGGGUACUGUCUAGGAGAGAGGCUCAGUGAAAUAGACAAGUCUGUGAAGAUGUGGACUACCUGCACCUGGAUAGAAACACCCCAUGAAGCUUCACUAUUCCCUGGGAUUGGGUUUGGGCCUUUCCUGCACAGCUUAGGUGGAAGGCGAAGGCCUCCUUCGGGGAGGCCCGAGCCAUCAGUGAGAUACCACUCUGGAAGAGGUAGAAUUCUAACCUUGUGUCAAGACCUAGGGGCCAAGGAAUAGUCUCAGGUAGAUAAUUUCUAUAGGGUGUAGGCCUCCUGAAAGGUAAUGGAGGCAUGCAAAGGUUUCCUCGGGCCGAAUGGAGAUUGGCCCUCGUGUGCAAAGGCAGAAGGGAGCUUGACUACAAGACCCACCUGUCGAGCAGGGACGAAAGUUAGCCUUAGUGAUCCGACAAUGCCAAGUGGAAGGGUCAUCGCUCAAUGAAUAAAAGUUACUCUAGGGAUAACAGGCUGAUCUUUCCCAAGAGCUCAUAUCGACGGGAAGGUUUGGACCUCGAUGUCGGCUCUUCGCCACCUGGAGCUGUAGUAUGUUCCAAGGGUUGGGUUGUUUCCCUAUUAAAGCGAUACGUGAGCUGGGUUUAGAAUGUUGUGAGAUAGUUCAGUCCAUAUCUGGUGUAGGAGUUAGAGAAUUGAGAGGACCUUUCCCUAGUAUAAGAGGACCAGGAAGGAUGCACCUCUAGUGUACUAGUUAUUGUCCCCAUAGUAAACACUGGGUAGCCAAGUGCGGAGCAGAUAACUGCUGAAAGUAUCUAAGUAUUUAGCCCACCCUAAGAUGAGUGCUCUCCUAUUUUGACUUUCCCAGAGCUUCCGGUACCAUAGCUGAGACAACGAUGAUUUCUCUACCCCUGCGGGGAUGGAGUGACAGAAGUUUUGAGAAUCCAAGAGAAGGUUACGGUGAGACAAGCCAUUUAUCAUUACGAUAGGUGUCAAGCGAAAGUGCAGUGACGUAUGUAGCUGAGGCAUUCUAAUUGACCGGCAGACUUGAAC